rnacentral:rRNA from 1 species
GAUGAACGCUAGCUACAGGCUUAACACAUGCAAGUCGAGGGGCAGCAUGAACUUAGCUUGUUAAGUUUGAUGGCGACCGGCGCACGGGUGAGUAACACGUAUCCAACCUGCCGAUGACUCGGGGAUAGCCUUUCGAAAGAAAGAUUAAUACCCGAUGGCAUAGUUCUUCCGCAUGGUAGAACUAUUAAAGAAUUUCGGUCAUCGAUGGGGAUGCGUUCCAUUAGGUUGUUGGCGGGGUAACGGCUCACCAAGCCUUCGAUGGAUAGGGGUUCUGAGAGGAAGGUCCCCCCACAUUGGAACUGAGACACGGUCCAAAACUCCUACGGGAGGCAGCAGUGAGGAAUAUUGGUCAAUGGACGAGAGUCUGAACCAGCCAAGUAGCGUGAAGGAUGACUGCCCUAUGGGUUGUAAACUUCUUUUAUACGGGAAUAAAGUGAGGCACGUGUGCCUUUUGUAUGUACCGUAUGAAUAAGGAUCGGCUAACUCCGUG